rnacentral:rRNA from 1 species
GACGAACGCUGGCGGCGUGCUUAACACAUGCAAGUCGAACGGACAGGCCCUGCUUUUGUGGGGUGCUCGUGUGGCGAACGGGUGAGUAACACGUGAGUAACCUGCCCUUGACUUAGGGAUAACUUCAGGAAACUGGGGCGAAUACCGGAUAGGAGCUCCUGCUGCAUGGUGGGGGUUGGAAAGUUUCGGCGGUGGGGGAUGGAUUCGCGGCUUAUCCGCUUGUUGGUGGGGUAGUGGCUUACAAAGGCUUUGACGGGUAGCCGGCCUGAGAGGGUGACCGGCCACAUUGGGACUGAGAUACGCCCCAGACUCCUACGGGAGGCAGCAGGGGGGAAUAUUGCACAAUGGGCGGAAGCCUGAUGCAGCAACGCCGCGUGCGGGAUGCCGGCCUUCGGGUUGUAAACCGCUUUCGCCUGUGACGAAGCGUGAGUGACGGUAAUGGGUAAAGAAGCACCGGCUAACUACGUG